GGUGUGCCUGGCACAAGAGUAAAUCCAUUUAAAACAAAAUAUUAAAAUAAUAAUAAUUACAAUACUACUAAUAAAAGUACUAACACAUUUAUUUAAUGAAAUAUCAGUAGUUUGAGGUUAAAUCUGAAAGAACUGUAUUGCAUUUAUUUAAGAUGCUACACAGUAGCUUUUAUACUUAUACAUCAAGCAGAUAACCAUCUCAUCUACAGUAUAUCUAUAACUCAACUCUCACCCAUAACCAUCAAAGGCGAGCUCUUCUAAGUAUAAAUUCCAUUAACUUGUGAUUAUACUUCACUUUCUACCACUUUCAUGAAGCACUUUGGGCUUUUGUUUCCAUUUGCUUUAAUUAUUACACUUCUUCAAUCAUUCCGGGUGAAUAUUUUCAUUCAAAACAUUUGAUAAGGUCUACAUGUACACCAGAGAGCCACCUUAAACGCAGGAUAUGGCAUUAGAUAUUCAAAUGAAGCAGCUUGUGUUACAUCAAAGUGCCAUAACCUUCAAAAUGAUGGAAACACUCAAUAGGAGGCACUCGUUCCAUGCUGGCAGGCGGCGCAAUUACUGCACCGCACUUUGAGGGGGGUGAAGGGUGCAACCUAGCACAAAAACACUUAAAAUUUGCUGUCUCGUCACUGACUGCAAUUAUAUUUUUCAGCUAAACAUAUAUUCUCCAUGACUAAAGAAGGGUUGCAAAGGGUCCACUGGCAGAAAAAAAAAUCAAAGGCAUGAAUUUUGGGAACUGGGAAAUUGAGAGCCAGCAAGUUUGUAUUUUUGCAAAGCAUCUUUCAAUAUCAGGGCAAUUCUGCUUCACAUAAAAGAGAAAAGACAUUUGGACUUUAAACUGCUUUUGAACAAGACAAAUGCAAGCUCACAUCUUUCAUCUGAGGAGCUUAUUGACCAAUUCUAAGAGCAGCGUGAAGAUGAUUCUAAAAUGCAACAUUCAUUUGGUUCCUUUCUUGGAUAACAAAGGUUGUUUUGUUUCCUUCAACUCCUAAGGGAAAUAUCUGGCUCUUUACCAGCUAGUCACUUUAGUCUGUCUUUUUUUUUUCCAACUGGAAACAACUGCCUGCUCCUGCUGGAAACACAGCUAACGGGAGCAGUGAGAAUGAACCAGAACAAUAAAGUUGCAGGCUGUAAAACAAUGAGCUAUAAAGCUCUGUCAAGCUGAGGGCAGCUCCUCUGUGGGGUCAUCAUCAUGAGCGAUCCUUUUCGCUUUUCAGUAAUUUGACCUAUUGUCAAUAUAAACAUAUUGAUUGUGCUGUUUUAAAAAAACAAAAUAAAAACAAACAAGGCACGAAAGGGAUUACAUUAAUGGCAGCUUAAGCCAACUUCUAGCUUUGGCUGACCAUCUCUUUAGACACUCCUGUGUUGAACAGCUAAUAGAAUUACGCACCCAUUUUGUGUGGAAGCAUUGUUAAGAUUAAUGGCAGGUAUUAAGUCUAUAUCCAUGUCAUACUUCAGCUAUUUAACUUCCUUUGAAUAUAAAGAUUGGCCAAGGGGAAUAACAUUAUCACAUCAGCUCCUAAUCUCACCUGUUCAUUGCUGCUGCCUGACUCGUCUGCCAUUGCUCUUUUUAUGGAAACUGCGAUUGUACAGGCUGUAGACUGUGCUCCUCGUUCACUUUUAUAAACUCCCUGCUUUCCUUUCUGGUAUUAAUGUAGCGCAAUAUUAUUUUGGUGGAAUGGUUGAGCGUGUCAUUUAUUCAUUACCUGGUCAAUCCCCGCCAGACUGAACCUCCGAGCUGUCAAGCGUACCCACAGGCUGAAGCUGUAAUAAGGUUUUAAGAGUCCGUCAUUAAUAAUGCUGUGUUGACACGACGCAAGGCUGAUCUAUCUUGGUAUGUGGGUUUGUGGGCCGCCAUCAUUAAGCAGAAUAGCUGGCACGGCGGUUGACUCCCUCCUCUCUCUCCCCUCAGUGAGCAAUUGGCUUUUUCCUUUUAGCUUUCAGCUGCUGAGAGUUUCCUGUAAGUCUGUCAAUCACCUGACUGACAGCUCAUCUUCCUAGUAGCUGAUGCCAUCUGCACUCUGUUGUUCACUUGAGGCCGUCAUGGACAGCUUGCUAUUAGACUGAUGUGCAGGACAGAUUAAUGACUUAAGUAGCAUGAAGAUGCAAGAAGCUCAGUCUGAUGUUCAAGCCCUUUUGGGACACAACAUUUCCAGUGCAGUUUAUUUGAUCUCACAGUGAACCCAAAUGGUAUAAAGGCUUCAGUUUUGUUGCUUGUAAUCUUCAGAAUCUGGAACUUAAAAGCAGUUCUCCAACACAGACGUUUGUCAAGUUUCCAUCCAAAUGUAGCACACAUAUUAUGUUGAUUUCUAUAAAAAAAAAAAAAAAAAAAUAAACGGACAAAGGAAAUCAUGAUUACUUAAUCAUAAUCAGGUACAUUUAACCGAUGCUGGCACUAAUUCUCUAGUCGGGUGCCAAUAAAAGAGGUUGCUCAAAUCUCAAAUGAUGGAAACCUAAAAAUAAAAUUGUAUUUAUGUUUAUUUCAGAGAUUCAUUUAAGGACCACUGUCAUCUCCUCAUCACUACACAGA